UACAGAGGAGCCAAGCGUUGUCCGGAUUGACUGGGCGUAAAGCGCACGCAGGCGGCACCGCGCGUGGGGUGUGAAAUCUGGCCGCUUAACGGCCAGGCGCCAUCCCAUACGGCGGAGCUGGAGUGAUGCAGAGGUCGGUGGAAUUGCCGGUGUAGCGGUGAAAUGCGUAGAGAUCGGGAGGAAGGCCGGUGGCGAAGGCGGCGCUCUGGAACGUUUCUGACACUGAGGCUCGAAAGCGUGGGGAGCAAACAGG
rnacentral:rRNA from 1 species